GACGAACGCUGGCGGCGUGCUUAACACAUGCAAGUCGAACGGAAAGGCCCUGCUUUUGCGGGGUGCUCGAGUGGCGAACGGGUGAGUAACACGUGAGUAACCUGCCCUUGACUUUGGGAUAACUUCAGGAAACUGGGGCUAAUACCGGAUAGGAGCUCCUGCUGCAUGGUGGGGGUUGGAAAGUUUCGGCGGUUGGGGAUGGACUCGCGGCUUAUCAGCUUGUUGGUGGGGUAGUGGCUUACCAAGGCUUUGACGGGUAGCCGGCCUGAGAGGGUGACCGGCCACAUGGGGACUAAGAUACGGCCCAGACUCCUACGGGAGGCAGCAGUGGGGAAUAUUGCACAAUGGGCGGAAGCCUGAUGCAGCAACGCCGCGUGCGGGAUGACGGCCUUCGGGUUGUAAACCGCUUUCGCCUGUGACGAAGCGUGAGUGACGGUAAUGGGUAAAGAAGCACCGGCUAACUACGUG
rnacentral:rRNA from 1 species